rnacentral:lncRNA from 1 species
UAAUUUACUAUUGUCUCUCUGCUUUGACAAGGUAAGUACUCAAGGGCGGAAUUGAUUAAACUCUGACCAAAAGAUUUGGCAUGUAUUCUCACAACAUCCUUGAACUUCUUCUGUUCUUCCAAAGUCCAUAACUUGGAAACAUCUUCUCCCAUGCUUCAAAUUUCCAUUGCCAAAAGGCAGGCCCCAGAUCAGAUUGCAGCUGGAUUUUCUUAGCAUUGAUGUGCUGUCUAACGCAUUCAACAGAUCCAGGGGAUACACAUGAACAAGACUUGGGUCUUCCUUUUCCGAUCACAUCUCCAGAGACUUCCAGGCUUCUGCCUUUAGUUGGCCAUACCUUGAUGCUUAACCACUUUGAACUGCGAGAUUUCCUGUGCAUGUUGUGCUGACCAUUCUUGUGUAGGGAAACAGGCAAAGCUGGCAGAUCAGCCUGAAAACGAGGUCCGACUGGAAUUGCGAGUCUGAGACUAUCAUCACAUAUGUACUCUAUCCAACCUUUAGGAACUGGAUCGUUCUCCUUCUGGAUAUGGAGUUCCUUUGAGGGCUUCAUUUCUUCGUCCUUCUGAAGACAAUCAACAAUGAGAAAAAUGCUCCAAAGGGACUGGCAAUCUCAAGUACUUUGUAGGUGUAGGUACACAAGCAAAUAGAUGCAAGAUGCUUGAUACUGCUAAGCACGUUCGUUAGUCUAGAUAAAAUAGGACAAUGCACAAGAUGACUCCAACGAAUUGCUAAUUUGAACUAUAGAAUUCAUGAAAAGAAUUGUGCAAGACUCAGUGCAUUCAUGCAAUAAAAGACACAUCAAGCACCAUCACCUGUCAUUAUUUUUAACCAGUAAAGCAAGGGGAAGGAACCUGUUCAAGAUGGAGAAGAUGAUAUUAGCAAGCGAAUAGCUUCUUCGGAUUGCACGAUUCCACUCUCCCAAUACUGUGUGCUGGGGAGGCUGUAAUGCUAUUGAUUAAAAUUGAUUUUAUGUCAUCGUAGGCCGCUAAAUUGUACAGAAAAGAAAUACUACUAUCAGUUAGCAAAUACUACAUGCAGACAACAGUUUUCAAAAGCACCUCAAAGACACAGAGCUAGCGAUUCAGCAAAAUAGCUUUGCCUUCCACCAAAAGAAGGCGUUGCUUUGCAUAAGCAAUUGAUUUUGGUGACGACAAUUCAUUGCUUCUCCUCCGAAAAAAAAAAGGAGAGAAAAUAGUUCAUUUAUCUUACAACACAAAAUUUCAAGAAGCCCACCAAGCUUGUACUCUGUUUAUGGAUUCCAGCCAAUAAACGGAGGCCAACAAGAUUCUAGCAUGAGAUUGAAAUUAUCUGUUACAAGAAUAUGCGGGGAAAUAAAUAAAAUCAAAUGAAAUAAAAAAAAACCUCCAUUUUGCUGGUAAUUGCCGUUUACGUUUAGAUGGUCGGAGCAAUCUUCAUUGAAAACAAGAGAAGCAAAAAUUUUGCUGAAUCGCUUAAGCUUCAAUCUACCCAUGCAUGAAUUGAAUAACACAUUUCUAGUGUUGCGAAUUCUACACAACUUGAAUUGAAUUCGAGUUAUCCAUUUACCGGUGCACCGGGAAUUAAUAUUCAAGAAAAUUUCUGAUAUAUGAAAUUAAACCCUAACCCUGGAUAUCGGCUAAACAGAGCGUCCGAACCGAUAUUAGAGGAAUUUAGGAUUCAAGAAGGAAUUGUAUUGUUUCAAUGAUUUUUUUUUGGGCUGUCAGACUGCAUAUUUUUUUCAUUUUGUUUUAAACGGAUAAAUAGUAUUUAGCAAAUUUCUUUAUUCUUAGACCAGAAAUAUCCGCAAAUAUUUCAGCUAAAAUCUCUAAAGAAUAUCCAAGGAAGAAAAUUACCAACAAAAAAAUGGUUACUAGGAUUAACUAAUUUUGAGUCAUAGAAAUUAAUUUUUUAAUUUAUAUCCAAAAAAAUUGGGAAUUUUUAUUUGUAAAACUUAAAUUCUUUUGGGAGAGGGAAAUGGAAUGCAAAUUAUGGUAAAAUGAUUGAAAGUAUAUAAAAUACCUAAAAAAAACCAAUAGAUAAGCCUCUUCUAAUGCUUUGAUCUUCUUCGACAAUUUUUAGUAAGAAACAAUUGCCUGUCUUAUGCCUCUGAUUCUUGCUAUUAAAGAUGAUACAACAACAAAUAAAUGAAGACAACUAUAAUGUGAAGGAAAAGGUGACAAAUAGCUUUUGGAGAAAAGGAAAUUGACUAGUAUAGUACUUUUCCAAAGAGUCCCUAUAAAGAAUGGAGUUUGGGAACACACACCUAUAUUGUUAUGGAGAGGUUGAACACUUAAAGAUGCAUGUUGCUCUUCUCAAGCAUAGCCCUUGCAAUAUAACAAAUGAGAGUUGUGGGAAGCUAGUUGACACAAUAUAUAGGUGGCAAGUGAGGACUUGCAUCAUCCCUCAAAGCCAAUCAACUCAAUUCUCAGGCUUUAAUAGUUCAUUUGAAUUACUAAAUGAGAUGGUAGCCCAUUAAAGAAGGGCCUUUAGAUUUACAUAGAUCCGAUCUAGAGACCUACUUAUAGACCGUGUAAUUUAGAGAAAUUCACCUAUAAGAAGUGAUUUAAAAUCACGAUAUUUUAAAUAAUAGAUGCAAAUAUAAAAUUUCUAAAAUCAAGAAGAUGAGCUAUCUUUAGUUUAUGACUGUCGCUUAAAUAGGACUUUCCAAUCGAAUAGCAUAUGGUCACAUGAUGUAUGACAAUGUAAGAAAAGUGAUAGUAAAUAUUAAAGUCUGUCUAAUGGGUGCUUAUAUCACUAAUAUUAUUUUGAAAAUUACAUACAUUAUACAAAUCAAAAUUGUCAUUGGAUAUAGGAUUUUAAAAUCUAUAAAUAAGAUAUCGAUGUAUAUCCCUAAAAUUUUAGGUAAGAGAGAAAAUAAUAGUAGGUUUUGGAGGUUAAGCAAGUAAUAUAAUACAAAAAUCCAAUUGAUUUUUUUUUAUUAUAAAAAGCAGACUUCAUUAACAAAUUAUUGAAAAUCGUCCAGCGUGAUUUGAUCUAUAUCUCUACCCUAAUGGUAGGUUAAACAUAAAAAUUACAAAUCUGCAUUUUAACAAAUGCAAUAGAUCCAAAAAAAUUAUGAACAAAUCUAAAAAAUAAAAGAAAUUUCAAAAUUGUCUCUAACAGAUAAAUCACUGUAGCUCCCUACUAUUAUUCCAAUCACUGGUUUAUUAAUCAAUGAUUUUAAACUCUAAUAAUAUGAUGCGAUCUGUCGAAUUAGAUCCAAAAUUCCAAAAAUAUUUCAGAUUUGACGACCAAAUCUGAAGUAAAUUAAGAUCUAAAAAUAAAAAAAAAGAAAAACACAAAAAUCUCCAUAGUAAUCUAUAGGAGAAUAGAAAAUUCUCACUUAGAAUUUCUAGGAGAAAUAGAAAAGCUUCAUUAAAAAAAAUUCAGGAAAGAGUUUAUUAGAAAAACAAAACAAAACAAAAUGAAAUUCAUGGGAAGGAGACCAUCACGUGAUCUCCCUCCCUAAGGGAAUGUGUUUAAGAGAGGAGGGGAAAUUGGGAAAAGUUGAAGAAGAGGAGAGGUAGAAAGAAAAGGGUUGAUUUCUGAUAAGAUAAACAGGUUUGCAAAAAUCCAAUUGAUGGUUGAGGAUUGUAUAUAAAAUUUCCAAACUAAGAAGAUGGGGGAAGGUUAAGUUGGGUGGUAAAACGGAAAAGAUUGUAAAUAUAAGGUUCUAAAUUUUCCAACAAGAAUUAUUACCAAACAAGAUGCCACUGCUCUUUAAUUUAUCAUUACAUUUCUACUCAGAAGAUUUAUUAGUUAAUGAAAUCAGCAGGCAGCGAAACAAGCAUUAGACACCUUAAGCGAAAUAAAAAAACCGGACACUCAGGUUCUUAUUCCACAUAACAAGUGUAACACACGUUCAUUGUCAAAAACUAACCCAUUGUACUUUUUAUGAUAUGAUGUAUGUGAAAUAAAAAGAUAAUUGAAAAUUGUGUUAAUGAUACAAGUAGGAUAAUAUUUGCAAAUUUUUUUCCAAAUUAUAUUGUCCAAACAAGACUAUCACAUUUAAGCUCCUUUAGAUGUCAGCAAAUGCCUAAGACAGGUAUAUCCGCUCAAUUUCUUUGAGAACUAUGCCCAAGUUUCAAUUGCUUUUCCGUAUCAAAUCUCCAACUACUGUAUAAUUUGAGCAUACUUUGCAAGGGACUAUAUUCUAGGCUCUCCCUUGUAAACAUUUCUACACAUAUUUGACCUGUUACCACUAAGAACGUUCAACUUAACAUGGAGCUGAGCAAUCUGUCCAAAAUAAUUCCACAUUUCUUCUAUGUUUCUCUAUUACAAUUAAAUUUUUAUGUUGAUUGAGAGAUCUCAGAAUCAUACUAUGCUGAGAAAAGUUGUUAACCUUCUUGAUGCAUAAACUAAAGCAGAUAUCUGCUCUAAAAUGAAAUUAUGUAAGAUAUACUGCAAAAGGAUUAAGUAUACAUACUUAUAAGCUUCAUCGACUCUUGCCUGAGCAUCUAUGUAGCUUGGAAAAUCAUAACCAACCAGGAAAUAAUCACCACGACCAUAACCUGAGUUUCCCUCCAAUGACUCGAGGAGUGGGUUGUAAUCAUAGCUUCCAAAUGCUCCAGACCUAAUAAAUUGUUUUGCUUCUUCAAAGCGAGGAUCUGGUUUGAACUGCACAGCAGAUAAAUAUUAAACUAAAAGUUGGUUUCUUCUCGAUAUAUUCUUAACAUGAUCUUAAGGAACCAAAUUAGACGUACCAUGACAUGAUGCUACUAUAGUAUCGUGUCUAAAGAUUCAGAACCAAAGUGAGUUACAUUCAGAGGUAAGCACUGAACGGUAGGAGAAUAUAAUGGAAGAGAUGAUCUUGGAAACCAAUUUUGAAUUGACCAGGAAAAACAGACACUCAGGCAGGACAUGUAUUUCAUGUGCUAGGAUUUUUUUUUUUUUUUUACCAAGAAAAGAAUGAAAAGAUACUUUGUUCUUGAUAGUCAUUAAAUAAUCAGGCUUGGACCCUGUACGUUCAUAUUAGCUGUUCAGACCCUGUGGCCAAUGAAAUGGUCAAGACCUCAUCAUCUUUGUUUCUUUUAUUUUUAUUUUUAUUUUUUCUUGGACCAUUAAUUGCAAAGAGAAACAUUAAGAAUGACAAAAAUUAGCCCAGUGCUUUUCACAACAUAAUGCAAAGAGUUCUUCAUUCUUUAGGACAAAGAUAUUUAGUAAGUUACCAAGCCAUGCAUCAUCAUAUUUACAGACAGAAUAAAGCUUCCCAAUGCACAGAGAGAGAGAGAGAGAGAAUUUUUUAUCCUCAACCGAGGACCUAACAGUACCUGGAAACUGUAAAGCAUUAAUCUGGCUACAAAUAAGGAAGAAUUAGAUACCAGACAGGAAAUUGCUGCAUCAUACCAGUCCAUUCUCUCUUUCUUUGCGCAACCGAGGGACUUCUUCUGCUCUUGCACCAAAAAGGAAAAAAUUCUCUUCACCAAUUUCCUCUCUGAUUUCCACAUUAGCACCAUCUAGUGUUCCUAUAAUGAGGCAUCCAUUCAGUGCAAAUUUCAUGUUGCUUGUCCCACUUGCUUCCAUGCCAGCUGUACUGAUGUGUUGAGAUAAUUCACUUCCUGGGAUAAGCAUCUCUGCCACAGAGACGUUAUAAUUGGGGACAAAAACCACCUGAAACGAAUGGUAAAAGAAGUCAGAUUAGUUGAAGAUGAAGUUUAUAGCAAGCAAAAAAUGGAAACAAAAAAGAAAUAUUAUGUAUAGAGUAAAUCUUGAAUAUUCUUGAGCAACAAGAAGUUAAUUUUUGGGAACCACUCCAUUUCACCAAUACUUCCCAUAAACUUCUACCAUGUUGUAUUUUUCCCUAAGCAUGACAAUCCAGUGCUUUUUCCCCCAUAUUCUGAAUGAUUAAUGAGAAGGUGUAAGUGACAAGAAGCAGCCCUGACAGCCAGAUGCAGCAGUAGCAAUCCACUAGUAUAUUAAAAAAAACCUAAUAGAUUCCAAUCAAGUUCAAAUGACAGUUUUAGCUAUGAAAGUCAACAAGACAUUCAAAUUGUCAAUAGUCAAAGUCUGAAAAAGAAAUUCCAAGCAUUGUUUUACUAUCUUCAGUUCAAUACAUUAAAGCUGAGGCAAUAUCAACUGAUCAAGGUACUCCUAUUUAUUCACGAGUACUUCACUGACAAUGAGUAUGUUUCUCCAAAUUCUUCUUUUAUAUUCUUUUAACAGGUAAGGAGAAUUUUAAGAAGGCAUCCAACCAGAAAGGAACUUCCCUAUAAGAUAUUCUAAAAAUUCAUAAAAGUAGUUAACAGAGUAAAAUUGGAAUAAAGGAAAGUGAUAAUGUGAGAGAUGGUCAAGGCAAGUCACACAAGGCGAAAAGAAUAGGUAGUGGUGAAUGAUUUCAUCUCAACAAUAUUAGGUGCCACAGCUUGAACCAACUGUUGGACUAGAAAUGGUAUAAGAACUACAUAUCCAUGAAAAAAGUCCAACUUAAAGUAAAUCUGCACUGGAGAUGUCUAAUGAACUGUUUUACCUUCAAAUAACUAUUGACUUCAGGAUCGCUGUUCACAACAGCACCAACAUCAUUUACUAGCUUAACAAUUCUUUUGGCAUUUGCGUAUGUUGCAAAUGCUUUUCCCCCAAUCAUGACAGUGCGUGGUGUAACCUUUUGCCGUUCUUCAGGGCUCAUCUCCUGGAAUAGAUCAAUUUCAAGAAAUCAUGGUGUAUACUAACAUGUGAUGCACAUAAAAAGUCAAAAGAUUGCAAUACACUGGAGCCACAAUUCAAUCAUUUCUAGGUUGACUACGAAAUCUCCAUUGGUGUUGGAUCACCAUAUAUACUCUUGAAAGAUAUUUCAUACAGGUAUGAUUCAUUGUUUUGGAAGUGAUGAUACUUCCAGAAGAAAACGAGAAUAGAGUCCAGAAGACAAUGAUAGUUAAUACGUUACGGGUUAGUAUUUUUAACAAUUAUGUAAUAAACAUUGUUAACAUCAUUUUUUCCAUAAUCGGAUGAGAUUCCAAUGAACAAAUAACAAAGAGCCAAUAAGCAAUGAUAACCGUAUGAAAGAUCAACUUAAGGUCUUGAUUUAGAAACCUUCAAUUGCUAAUAAAUGUAUUGCAUAUUGAAACACCUAAGGAGAUUAGGAAGUCUACAAUACCUUUAUUUUCUUGUACCUAUAGACUGUCCCCAAAAUGUUUAGCAGCUGUCUUUUGUAUUCAUGAAUGCGUUUAACUUGUAUGUCAAAAAGGGUAUUAGGAUCAAUGCUGACACUUGUCACUUGCAUUAUGUAUUGCGCUAAACGUUGCUUGUUGGCCAUCUUAGCUGAUUCCCACUCAGCAUACAGUUCUUCAUUGUCAACAAACUAUUUGAAGAGAAGGAAACAAUAUAGAAAAGAGUCAGUAAAAAUGCCACUAUGUCGAAGCAAGGUCUUUAAUAAUAAAUAAUUGCAAGUAAAAAUGCCACCAUGUCAAAGCAAGGUCUUUAAUGGGAGAAAAAAUGCCACUAUGUCAAAGCAAGUUUCUUGACGUACCUGCCGAAGUUUGGUGAGGAGAUCGAGGUUAGUCACCCAUUUAUCAGUUUUUAACCAUUUGGUUAUUAUUUGACUAAGCUCAGGACUACAAAACCGAAGCCACCGGCGAGGAGUAAUCCCAUUAGUCUUGUUUUGGAAUUUGGUAGGCCAUAUAGAGACAUAAUCAGCAAAUAAGUCUGAUUUUAAGAUGUCACUGUGUAGUUGUGCAACACCAUUCACCUGAGAGAUAUGGAAACUAAAGGUGAAAAUCUUCUAGAACAGAAGAAAUGAAAAUUUAAGAGACUUAUAAAAGAGUAUAAAAUAAGUAAAAGCCAUGGAAGCAAAUCAACAAUGAUAGGAGGAGAUGACAGUGACAGACACAGAUUAUUGAUGAAUUCAGAUUAGUUGUUGUCAGGGAAGUAUAGCUCGGAAUUUUACCAAUAAGCUAGUAGUUAAAGUAAACCAGUAAUUAGCGCACACUUUAGGUGUGUGCCUCUUAUCAUAUCAUUGUAAUAAAAUAAAAGACAUAUAGUAGAAGCCGAUGCAUUUCUCAAAUUAUCAUGCUAUCUAACUUCUGUGACCAACUAUAUAGGAGUUAGGUUCACCAAUUAGAGAACACCAUACUGAACUUAAACAUUUACUCUCAUCUUGACGAAAGUCACAAGGAUAGUUAUCAAGCUGAGGGUAAAUUUUGCAAAUCAAAAGUGAUGCCAAAGUCUCUUCCCCCUUUAUAAAGAGUCAGAUUAAAAGCUGAAAACAAAAGAAUAGUUGUUUAAUUAUUCCCUCAGGUAUAUUCGGGCCUUUGACAUUUGGAUAUCACAAGAUAAUCGUUAAAGAUAGGAGAUGUGAUAUCCAUUCCACUUAGACAUGUUUCUUACCAUAUGGGAGGACACCACACACAAGUUAGCCAUUCGUACAACUGGCUUUUGGGGGUUGUGGUCCAAGAUUCGGAUGCUGGAAAGUUUAGUCUCAAGGUCAGGUCUUGUUGACUGCACCGUUGCAAUAAACUGCAAGGAGUUCAAGACUGCAAGUUAUUUCAACAUCAAUCUAACAAGAAAGUAGCAAUAAAUGAAGGUGAGUGAACAGAUUACCCUCUUAUCAAUUUCCUCAAUAAUUUCCAUAAGGCGGGGAAGGAGCUUCCACAUGACUGCCUGUGACCAUUUCUCCAGAGCCUCAGGUAGGACUGUAUGAUUUGUAUAGGCUAUUGUCCUAAAUUAAAAUGGUUUAUAACUCAAAUCUGUGAAUUUUCACAAACAGCUCCUUAAAAAGAACCAGAGAAAACAAGUUCCACAGAGUACUCAAAAAUGAUUUAUGUGUGUGCUCAUAAUCAGAAUGAUGGUAGUGAUUGUCGAAGGUUUUGGUUUAUGAUACACUUUUUAAAAGGUGAAGUUCAAUAUAUUUUAUCUAGUUGUUCAAAUGCUUAUCCAUGAUUGCUGGUUUAGUUUUUGCUUCUUCCUUUAUUUCUUUUGUGGUACAUGUUUGGCUCACUUUGCAGUCGAUAGUUAGCUUCUGAAUUGUCCCUUAAGCUUAUUCAUGAUGACAGAGGCAACUAAGAAACUUGGAUGGAACGAAGACAACUGAAAUAUGCAAAACCACCUUGUAGUAAUAUCCCAAGCAUCAUCCCAUCCAAGUCCUUCCUCAUCCAUUAGUAAUCGCAUUAGCUCUGGAAUUGCAAGAGUAGGAUGUGUGUCAUUAAGUUGCACAGCAACCUUUGUGGGAAAUUCGGACCACUGGAGUACACCCUUUCCCACUUGUCUCUCCCUAAAUCUGAACAUGAUGUCCUGAAACAGGAUGAAAUGAAAUAAGUUCUUCACUAAUCAUAAAAAGAAACUUUGCUUAAAAAGAAACUGUCUCUCCUCAAAAAGAAACUUUGCUUGUUUGUUGCUGAAAGCCUAAAGCAUUUUAUUAGGUAUUCCAGUCUCCUUUACGUGUAAAUAUCACAGAGUUUAGGCAUGUUUACUGAAUAGAGGUUUCACUGAACAUAAAAAACUUAAGGUUUGGAAUCAUCAAUAUCCCAAGGCAAAUAUCCUUUUAACCUUUGACAUGCACCGCUUCUAGACUGAACUGUAUAGGCGCCCACCAUGGAAAGAAAAGGAAAAGAGGAAAAUACACCAAGGAAUAUGGCAAACCUGAAGUGAAGCACUGCAAAGGAAAAACUGUUGCUUAAGUCUUAACAAUUUUCCACUUUCUGUAGCAUCCCCAGGAUAAAGAACAGCACAUAUCUGCAAAUACAUGACGUAAGGAUGCCACAGAGAACCAACCGACAGAACAAAUUAAUAUAUAAACCAACAGAAAGUCUGAGAUUGAAUUUUGGAAGUCGAAUCUGGAUUUCCUUUAAGCGACCAGAUGAUUGGCAAUUAAAGUCUUUGCUUGAUCUGAUAACUAACUUUAUUAAGAGUACAAGGGUAAGCCAACCUGUUGAGCCCUAGCAUGGAGCUGUGCAGCAGAUUCAUACUGCCCAUCAUUGAACUGAAACAAGUUGAAGUCCUCAGCACAGGCUUUGGCUUCCCAAAGGCGAAGACUGUUAGUAUUCUUGGUCUUGUACCCUGGAAUUGGUACAUCAUAGGCAACAGCUUGAAUGACCUCUCCACCAACCCAUUUGCGGCUACAAACCGGACAAAGAAUUAAAAGAAAUGAUAAACCAUAUGAAUAACACUAUGAAUGAGAACGAAAAUCCAAUCUGGAAGUUGUGCUAUUGAACUUUUAGUCAACACAUACAGAAGUUAAAGUUGCACAUACAGAAGUUGCACUUACGAGCCAGUAGGAAGGACCUCAACGUGACCAAAAAAUCUGAUGGGGAAUACAACAUCAUGCCUGACAAUCUCCCAUGGACUAAAUUUCUGCAUAAAUUUGUACCAGAUGAAACCCUAUAGGAGUCCCACGACUAAAGAAUGAGUAUGACAGUAGAAAAAGACAAACCUCCAACCAAUCUUCGGCAAUUUCCUCCUGACCUCCUUUGCUGAUCCGCUGCUUAAAAAGCCCAUAUCUGUACCUCAAACCAUAACCCCAAGCUGGCAAGUUCAAUGUCGCCAUUGAGUCUAGAAAGCACGAAGCAAGUCUUCCUAAGCCACCAUUUCCAAGUGCUGCAUCUUUCUCCUACAAUAUACAAUUUUAAGAAUUGCAUUGGAAAUACAUCAUGCUAGGUUUAAGCCAAUAACAAAAGUUAGAAUGAAAUAGACUUGUAUCAACUUUAGUAUUUAAAGAAUGUUCACUGAUCCAAUUGGAAACGAAAAAUAAUUGUAAGAACACCUAAAUAAAUGGCUAUGCAGCAUUGCACACUGUCAGAUCCCAACUGACGAAGUAAAGAGAAUGUGAAAAGGUUCUUAAAGUGGAACUACCUGCUCAACGAUUUCCUCUAGUUCAUGACCCAAUUUCUUCAAAGCAUCAGAAUAAGCAUCUUGGAUAUCAAGGUUUCCAAUUGCGUUAGUCAAAGCUCGCCCUUGCAGAUACUCCAUGGACAAAUAGUAUGUUUGCUUUGGGUUGACUUUGUGAUAAUGGAGGUACGUAUCAUUCCAUUGCUGUGGGGGUAAACAACAAACAGUAAAAAGAAAAAUUAGAGUGGGUGAAACUUGUGAAAAAAGUACAAAGCAGACUCUAGCAUUAAGAACAUGCACAACAAUUUGCAAGCCACAAAAAGAACACUUUUACCAAGCAAAGCACUUGUAUGAUGAAAUGGAACCAGAUACACCAAGAGAUGAGCUCAAUGCAUGAAGGUGUUCAUUGAGUUUGAAAAUGCAAUUCUUUUCAAGUCAUACACUAGCAAAUGAACUCCGCAAAAAUCUUUCCUUCUAUACAUGACUCCGUAACGAGUGCGGGUAUGUACAUCGCACAGGGCCGGCAAGUCCACUUCAAAGAUGAAUAGACAACGCAAAUCAACCUUGGGCACAUGCCACACAUUCUGGAGAAUAAUCACUGCUAUAUCUACAACAAAUUACAGAGCAGUAUAGCAAAUUUGCCACAAAAAGGAGCAAAAUUGCUUACAAGCUUCCAAAUAGACCGCAUGAGCAAGUACAUGCAUAAGGUAGAUAAUUAACAACAUUGGAUAUGCUAACAAAGCAAAGACGUCACCAUCUUCAGUCGCUAGUCAAAUCCAAACAUACAAUCAACAAAUGAUUCAACAAAGGCAAACCGAAAAAACAAAAUUUACAACGGCAAUUCAAAUUCUAUACCUUGAUCAACCGAUCACGAACACUAUCAGCAGUGGCAUAGAAAGCUUGCUCUGGCUCGAACUUGAAAGGGGAGAAAUGAGGACUGUAUUGAGCAUGAUAGAUGAUAUUGGACGCAAUCUCCGUAGCCUCUCCGGCCAGCGGCUGCGCAACCGCAGGUACUUCCGCUGGAAUUCCUGAUUUUAUGGUUUCAUUACCGCUUGAUGUUGCCGGCACUUCCAUAUCUGGUCCUAUUAUCAGCAGAAACUUCUUCUAUAGACCAAAAAAAAAAAAAAUCAAAAUCCAAACAAUUGAAUCGUACUCCCAGAAUCAAGCCAUAAGAAUGAAAAAUUAACUCCUACUGAGAAGAAAAAUGCAGAAGUGAGAUUCUGAAACACAUUGUCCAUGUGAAUAUUUCGUUAAUUAAUGAAAAAAACUGGUAAAAUAUCAAUAACAUGACAUGAUUACCUAAUCUGUGUUGAGACUUGAGAACGGUGCUACUGCUGAAGAGGAAGCGAAAUAUGAGUGCCUGUUAAGUUUCAAUAAUAUUUGAGUGAAGGUUCGGGAGAUAUUUUGGACAAAGUUCUAAAAAGAGAAUGGGAGAGAUGGUAGGGGUGCGGGCGGGGGAAUAUGCUACUAUCAUGCAACUCAUCAAUUUGGAGAUAUUAAAGGGAAAUCUGACAAACAAACAAAUGGAAAUGCGAAAAAAGUACGGUCUCUUGUUUGUUUUCUAGUUAGGAAAGAAGAGAAAAAAAAUAUCUGGAAAAGUGCUUAUGUGUGCGAGAGAGAAAGAGUGAGUUGCAGUUUGUAUACUUUGCUUGCAUCAUCAUCACCCCCGGCGUCGCAUUCAUGUCAUAUCGCACGGGAAUCGGCGGAGGAGAAGAGAGUGAUUGGACGGCUUCGGCGGCUGAAGAAGUGUGCUGGAGGCAACCGUUUUCUAGUGUUUUCGAGUGUGAAUUUGCUGGGGCUCUAAAUAUCCAACACAGUCUAGUAUAGUACCACUAGUAAACUUAUCAUCUUACAAUUAUGGGUUUGUUGGUACCUUGCUUGAGAUAGCCAGACAACAAAAAAGAACGAGAGAAGAAGAAAGAGAAUAAAAGAGCGGAAUUGAGAUGGGUGAUGGGACAAGGCCACGUGUGGUUCAUGCAUAAAAAGUAAACUGGAAGGCGCUCUUCGCUCGCCUCGAGACUCCACAAUACAACUGGAUUCUCACGCAUUCGUCGUGACACCGGGAGCAAUCUAGAGCCAGACAGCCCCCCCCCCCCCCCCCCCCCCCCCUUUUUUUUGUGAAAAUUACGCUUAUAAGUGAAUUCAAGUUUACUUUUAACCAGUAGGGAUGAUCAUUUUCUCGAAUCUCGCUGUGGAUGUAAAAAAUUUAUGGAUGAAUAAUUUAUAAAAAUAAUCUAUAAUUUCAAGAGGCAUACUUUGAUUCGUAACAAUGACUGAAGUCAAACUCAUUCAAAUUUUUUUUAAAAAAAAAAAUUCAAAUCUCUAAGCAGUCAUGAGUAGUUCUUGAUUUUUUUUCCUUGGAUGAAUAAAAUCUGUAGUAAUCAGUAUCUGGAAUCCCGUAUAGGUCCUGCCAAUCCCUUCUUAUACCCCCCUCGACGACAUUUGCUGAAUGGUGAGUAGCAGCAGCAGUGUGAGCAAUGCUUAUGUCCUUGAAUUCCUUUCUGAUUUGCCACAAUACCUCAGCACAUCUCUUCAUGGAUGGUCUUGCCCGUCUUGAAGGGUCAAGGCAUUGCCGAGCAAGUUUGAGUACCUUUUCAACAGCCUGGUUUGAUGCUGGAUUUCUUCGUAAUCUUGGAUCCAUUACCACCGCAACUUCUCCGUCCUUUAAUUUCCUCAGAGCCUGCAAGCAAACAUCACCAUGAUAUGAUGGUUCUGAAUCGCAUGCAAAUGAUCUACUAUGAAAAUUGCAGAAGCCUAUAAUCAGGCAGAAAGCAGGUUACGUUUGUCCUGAUCUAUGAAUUCACUUACCCAUCUUACGGUUACCCUCUCAUCUGUGCUUUUGUUCGAAUCAAUGGGAUGCCUUCCUGUCAUCAUUUCCACGAGCAAUACGCCAAACGAAUAUACAUCACUUUUUUCAGUGAGUUGGUAUGUCUUGAGGUAUUCAGGAUCCAAGUAGCCAGCUGUUCCUUUAACUUGAGUGGAAAUGUGAGUUGCUGUAGGAUCCUCAGCGGCUAGCCGUGCAAAUCCAAAGUCAGCUACUUUCGCACGGUAUUUUUCCGUGAGCAGUAUGUUUGAUGCUUUAAUAUCUCUAUGGAUAAUUGGAGGCUCUGUAAUUUCAGGUUGAGCCAAAAAAUUAGGAACUGAGUAGUACUUCUAAUAAAGUCUGCAAACGAAGAUAUUAUUGUUUGCUCGCAACGUACAAACUUACCAGUGUAUGUGUGGAGAUAGGUAAUUGCAUGAGCGACAUCAGUUGCAAUGUCUAAACGUUCUGCAGUUUCAAGUCCAUCUCCCCGCGUCCCUGCAUCACAAGGUCGCUGGAUUUCAAUUUUGACACACAACUUUCCCGUGAUCAUUAUGUUUGAUGCUCUGAUGUCUCUAAUAUUCAUGCUAAAAUCGAAGAGCUAACAUAUUUGUGUUGAAAUAAAUGUAUAGGAGGCCUAUUUACAGCCAAGAUCCACGGAUAGAAAUAUAGUGUGAUUCCGGAUUCCUUAUUCAUCUCAAGAUCCCAUGAAGUAACCUGAGCUUUCUCCUUGCCACUUUACCAGUUACUACCUACCCGAGAUUCAAUAUGCAGAUUAGGAGAAAACAAAACUAAGAUUUAUUAUUCAUCAAAGCCUAACACUUGAAGAAAAAAAGGGGAUGAUCACAACAAGCAAUAAUAACAAAUCUAUCAGGACAUAACUUUUCCCCCCCUUAUAGUUGACAAUGCAUGCUAAGUUUUCCCAUAGCAAAGAAGCUCAACAAAAAUCUAUUCCAGAAUCAGCUAAUUAACGUGGAAGUUCGUGUGGACGUUAUUUAUCUCAGAAAGCAAAUGAAUGCCAUUGCAAUUCAAGUGAAAAUAUGGGGUUCGUGUUCGUGCUCUGUUGCUUCACCUACCGUCCAAGUGCUCUCUAAGGGUUCCAUUGCUGACAUAUUCAACGAUGAUUAUGCGCUCGUUUCCAUGCUCCAGGUACCCCAGAAAUCUUACCAAAUUCAGGUGCUCGAUCUUUGAUAAUGUCAAAAUUUCAUUCUUGAACUCUGCUGACAAACGUUGAUCAAAAGAUUCCUGCCAAAAUUUUCGUGUUACAUCGCAAAUUCACAGGAAAUGGCCCCUCAAGAUUUACAUUUGUUGGUGGUUAAUUCUCCUUACCAUUUUAGCGCGCUUUAUGGCGACCAUAAAUCCAUCCCAAAGCUUCGCCUUGUAAACUGUUCCGAAAGCUCCCUCACCAAUUAUAUUUGCUGAAGAAAAAUUGCCAGUUGCCUUCGAUAUCUCAUUAAACGAAGUUUGAAGUGAACCAAUCUGUAUAAUAUUGUCAUUGGAAGACUCGCGAGAGUAGGAGUAUUUUGUUCUUGAUGAAGAUUUACUAGUGCUUCCAGUAGAAUCAUCUAUUGAAUCUGCAGAACGUCAAGAACCAACCCAAAAAAAAAAAAGGUUAAUUCAUGCCACUUCCAUGCAAAAGUGGAUUGACAAUAUAGUGAGAUGUAUCAAAAUCCCGUCAUGUAAUAAGUAUAAGCUUAUCGGUAACCUCAAUAUCAGAAUCUGCUUCUUGAUUUACUUUUGUAUUCUAGUAUAUGCUCAUGCCAGACCAUUGUCCAACUUGGGGGCAAAUGAAGAUACAUAGAUCAAUGCCAAGAUGGCAUGCUGGGAAAGAUUUACUCACCGGACAAUCCUGUAACAGCACGUUUUACUUUGUUGGCUUUAGUUUGAUCAGCGGUGGAGUUGACCUCCCUCUUCCAAAAGAGAAGCGCAGCAAGAACUCCAGCCACUCUCUUGCUGGCAGCUCUGAUGAAGCUGGAUGUAGAUCGAGACUUCUGAUUCGUUGCAGAAGUCUGAUUGCUAAUUGCACUGGUGUGGGAACGGGGACUGGGACUCUCUUUUCUGAUUUGGCACCGACGGAUGAUCAGAGGACUCGGAGUUUUCAUCCUAUGCAGAGACGGAGACCCUUCUGGCAGGACAAUCUUUGACUCAUCAUUCUCUAAAACUUUAACCACUAGCGAUGACACCGUCUUGCUAAAUGCCCUCUAGCCGUAGAUUCAGGACUGAUUCAAACAUUGUGUUAAUUGGUACUCGAAGAUGGAAAGAGUAAAACAGAGACACUGUCAACUGCUGGAUGGAUUACUUGUCUGAAGUAGAAUGUCGAUAAUACGGAAAAUUUUGUCUGAAUAAUAAGUUCAACUUGUUCAGAUCAAUCAUUACUGGUACGCGUGUGUGUGUCUAUAUAUAUUUAUAUGUAUAUAUAUAUAUAUAUAUAUAUAUAGCUGCACAAGAGCUCAAGGUUGUUUUGGUUUUGGCCGUGGCAUGGAGCCAUGACUAGUUUGAUAAUGGUUAGAAAAGAUAGUCAAAAUAGACACGGUAUACAGGAUGCAAAAAAAGAACAAGGUGCAGAAAACCGGUGGCAACAAUCAACUAUUGAACCCUUUUCAUCUUGCUCACACGAGUUUUACUCUCAUUUACACGAGCAACUGGUGUUCAAAUGGUGUAUUAUUUGAAAUAAGGAAUCAUUUCAAAAACCUCUCCUGAGAUUUCUGAUAAUUUCAACUAGCCUUUCUUGAAGUUAGUAAAAUUACACAAACCUCCCCUGAGGUUAAGAUUUUGAUAACAAAAUUAGUCCAAUUAAAAAAAGUAACAUUAAAAAAGUACUUUAAGAAGAGAGAUGAAACUUUUAUUCCAUAAAUACCCCUUAUGCAUGUAUAUAAGUUGUAUUAGUAAAAGGAUGAAAAGAUUUAAAAAUUAGAAACAAUUAAUACGCAUAUCUCACUAUUCAAAAAAUUCACAUUUAAUAAAUUAGACAACACAAAUAAGCAACAAAACUACACUAAUGAAUACAACAUUUAACAAAAACAAACUAGUCAUCUUUUUUGACAUAAUAUUUGUUACGAUUCUUAUGAUCUUUAACAGAAAAUUUUUUCAAAAUUUACCUUUCUUUUCCCUCAUUUCUCCUUUAUGAAUAUCUAAUGAUUAAGUAAUUAGAGUACUAAUUAACUAAUAGUAACUAAUUAGGUGAAAUAACUGUUGAAAAUUUCUUUAAUGAUGAAUGAUGACUUGUAAUUACAAAAUAACAUCAAUUGAUAUACCUUAUGACAUUAUCUUGUGAUUGAUAUAAUUUGACAAUAACUAGAAAUCAGUUGUAUAUAAUGUGAGAAGAAGGAAUUUGGUAGAAGAGAAAAUUGUUCAUGAGGAUAUUUUCUUUAAAACUCUUAAAGUUGUGAUAGUUCUAAAAUAAUUUCAUGGAAGUAAAAGAGAAAUAAGAGGGAAAAAGGCAAAAUUUGAAAAUUUUUCUAUUUAAAAUCACAAGAAUCAUAACAAACAUCAUGUUAAAAGAGAUGAUUAAUCUGUUUUGCUGAAUUUUGUGAUAAUUAGUGUAAUUUUAUUAUUAAUUUGUGAUGUCGAAUUUAUUAAAUGUGUGCUUUUUGAGUGGUAAAAUAUAUUUAUUAAUUAUUUCUAACUUGUAAUUAUUUUUAUUCUUUUAUUAAUACAACUUAUAUACAUACAUAAUAGGUAUUUAUGAAAUAAAAGUUUCAUCUCUCUCCUUAAAAUACUUCUUUAGUGUUAUUUUUUCUAAUUGGACUAAUUUUGUUAUCAAAACCUUAAUCUCAUGGGAGGUUUUGUAUAAUUUUACAAACUUCAGGAGAGACCAGUGAAAUUGUCAAAAACCUCAGGAGAGGUUUCUGAAAUUAUCCCUUGAAAUAAUUUCAGUAACUUUUUGCUAUUUGAUGUAUAUAAAGUAAAAGAGUAGUUGAAAAUAUAAAAAAAAAAAAUUAAAAACAUAUUUAUAAUACAAGUAAAAUAAUAUUUAAAAUAAUUUAUAUAUCCAAAACUCCAAACACACCCCUUGUUUUUGUCAAAAGCCAAAAUUCUAGCACGGCAAUCCCUGUUUAGAAACAAAUAAUUCAAUAAUCAUAGAGGCAGAGUUCGAGCCAGGAAAGGCCAUCCUCCGUCUUCCUCAAUCCGAGAACAAAGAUUCGAAGAAACCAAUACAUUUGCCACCACAUUAGUGUUUAAGCAAAUUGCUUUGUCAGAUUGUUUUACGAAAAUUGAAAUUGCAAAUCCAAAACAUUAGUAGAGAGCCAUCCGAGAUUGUUACAAGUUAGCCAACAUUGGUAAGCGUUUUAAGCAAACAGCGGCACUCUCCAUGCUGAUGGACACUGCAAAAAUACAUUGGAUUUUCCGUACUGCAGGGACCGCUGGAUCAGCAUCCUAUUUAUACAAGGCAAUCAGAAUUUUACAAAUUUGGGACUUUCGUUGGCCAAAAAGUACCUUCCCGGCUUCCCAGUUCCCACAGUACUGCAUCCAAGAAACCAAAAGAACUUGCUAGAUUGAAAACGUUCGUUAAUAUCCUUGACCCUUUCUCGUUUCUAUAAACUACUUUACAAAGAUGAUGCGAGCAAACAGGAAACUAUCAGAAAUACAGACAUCUAAAGAGUUUCAUCAAAAUUGACUCUCCCCCCUGUGGCGAAAAAGUUCCAAAAGAGAGCAGCCGAGAAAUAGAGAAAAGCUGUAAGCAACAAGAAUCCCUUAAAAGAACCCACUAAUUCCACGAAGUAGCCGGCACCAACCGUUCCAACUAUAGCAGCAAAUGUACCAGCAGUAUUUGAUAUACCUAGAGUUUACAGAAGGGACAGAAUUAGGUAAAGAUUUCGAACAAGAAAAUUUCAUGCCUGAUUUUCAUAAAUUAAAGGAAUAAACGAGGUUUGAAGAUAUUAACAGGGAUCUUCUUUUUUAUGUUCAUUGAAGUGUUGAAAGGGGAGGGAGGCUGGCCUUGUAUACUGAGGUUAUACUCCCAUGUAGACAAUAAAUUAGAUAUCGGUAUGUAGAACUAGGAGAUUAAUAGUAGAGGAGAAUAAAGUUGAACGAGUACAAUGCAUAAAACUUUGCAAGAAAAUCAACAGAGUUACCAUGGAGGACGCCUGAAUACUGUGGUGCAAUCUCCUGACAAGGUAAUGGUACAAGAUAUAUCAGGUCUGAUGCAAAAAAACCAACUGAUCAAAUGAUGAAUUUCACGGAAUAUACUAACCUGGAGGUUCACGAGGAAGCCACAAUGACUGAAUGCUUUUAGCCCAACUGCUAAAGUAAGCCAAGCAGAUGCAUUGGAUGGACUUCUUGCCAUUGUUAGACCAACAAGAGCUAUCCCAGGUCCAAUAAAACCAAUUGACUGCAGAGGAAAAAUAAAACUUCAUACAUACUGUAAACUUGUCCCAUCUUGUUCCGUAAGGAAGUAAAAAAGUGAGGUCGAAUGACUAAAUACAAAUCACAUAUUGAACACCAUUAGUGACUAGCUCUAAAGAAGUCUGGUAGAAGUAGAACUGAAUUUAUCACUGAGGCGCAAACAAUAAAACUAAAAAAAAAGUAGAAUUUGAGAAAAAGGGAAGAAAAUAAAAAAGGAAAAGAGCAUAAGACCAGGAACAAUGGUCCAUCAAAACAAAGUUUCCAAUUAACUAGGGUAAAUGAAAUUUGAAAAAUGACUCAGCCAAGAUUUUUGGCUGAGGACAAUAUUCUUUUUAUUUUCUCCCUCGAUUGUUCCAUGUGAUUACUUUUGUACCAGCAAACCCCACAAUAUCAGAGGGACAAAAGACAUACUGAUCAUAUAUAAACAAUCACAUGCAUAGCCUUUAUCCCGACUUAAAUUCAAACUUUUUUUUUUUAAAUUUUCCCAAACUUAAAUUCAAAAUCUAGUAAAUCUGUUUCUUUAUAAAUAGCAUUUCCCAUAUACAAAUUACAUAAUUGCAAAGGCCAUUACUAGAGACAUCCUAAACUCAUUUCUCUACUGUCCACGUGAAAAUUCAUUGGAGUCUAUAAAAUGACUGUCAUACAUUUUGGUGAUAAAGAAAGGGAAAGAAAGAUAAAAGACAUGUCUUGGAACUUACAAGGACAAAGAGUAAAUCGAGUUAGUUAUUUCAACAAUAUAUAUAGCCAAUUGGAAAUUGAUAAAAUUGCCAUACUUGCAUGAUUUUGCGGGUUAAUGUCACACUUAUGCCUCUCUGAAUCAUCAUGUCUGACAAGACACCAGCAAAGUAACCUGCCACGGCCAUCAUGCUCCAAGGAACAGCACUAAACCAUGCUGCUUGUCUUAAAUCAACAUGAUAUAUCUACAAGUAAAAGAGAAACUUUUGAUUUCCUAUCUUCAGAUGCAUAAUGUUAUUUAUCGCAUGUCAUGUACAGACAUAGUUUUUUACCGUCUUGAAAUAAAUGGGCAUCCAUGAAAGUAUAACGAAAAAUCCCUGCAUGAGGUAAAAAAAAAAAAGGUAAAUGAUUUCGUAAAGGACACAGACUACAGACUAUAGAGCAGGCGAAGAAUGUCUUUUCCACCAAAAUGCACCUAUAAACAGCCCAUAAAGAUAUGUGACAAUAGUGGAACACAAAUUCAUCUCUCCAAUUUCAAAGUUCGGACUAACCUUCUCUCAAUUUUCUAAAAGACCCAAUAAUCUCACAACUUGCUCCGAAAAUCUUCAGAACUUAAAACAAUGCUUUCUAAUUAUCAAAUAACCAAUUUCCCAAUUAAAGAGUAUCAUUUGAUCUCUCAAAGAACACCUUGUUCUCCUACCCAGUACCAUCAAAGUGGUAACUUUUAAUUCAAUUAUGAGACACACACAAAAUCACCUUUUUGUUUAACCAAUUUUCAGGAUUAACCAAUCAAAGAUACUAGUUCAAAGACAACAGAAAGUUGAUGCAGUGCAUAAAUUACCCAGCUGUGCAUUGCAUUUGCAACAAUCAGAGUCCAUGUUGGUAGCUUAGAAAGCAAGCGCUUAAAUGGAGGGAUAACUUUGCUUUUCUUUGAUUUAUCCUUUAUGACAGAUUGCAUGUUCCCGUCAUUCUGUAUGUACUGCAACUCAUAUGCUGAUAUUUGAUGGCAUUUGUCCGGGGUGCUUGAGGUUGCAGAUAUCCAGACCAAAACCCAGAGAAACCCAGACAAUCCAAAUAUAACAAAUGGACCAUACAAACCACCCUGAGACAUGAGAAUGGGAGAAAGUGUGAGUCCAAUAGCACUUCCAAGCUGGAAUCCCGCCAUUGCAAGUCCAACAGCUCUUGAUCGUUCUGUUUGAGGAAACCAUCUAAAAUCAAAGGUUCAGAGAUACCCUUAGCAGUUUGGACAUGCCAAAUCUUCAACACAAUAAACUUGACAAAGAAUAUAUCAUGUAAAUCAUGAUAAUUAUGGAUUCAAUUUCAUAAAUUGCAUACCUUGCAAUCAUGUUGUUCAUGCAUGGAAGAGCUACCCCUUCUGCAAUGCCAAGCAACAUCCUCAUAGCAAGAAGUGCGCACAAGGAAUUUUCUGCAGCCCAGGGGGUGAGAAAGGUGGCUAAUGACCAUAAAGUGACACCCCAAGCCAUGACAACUUUGCCCCCGUAAAGGUCCACCAAAGUUCCUCCAGCUAUUGGCGAUAUUAGGUAUCCCCAGAGAAAAGAUGACUGCCAUUAGUAAGUAAAUUAAUGAGAUAGCCUAUAAUGUUUAGAAGCUGUUUUUAAAACAGAUCUUGAGCCACUCACUGUACUCCUUUUUGUCAAAGAACAAGGUUUCUUUACCAAUGUGAUUGAAUUUCACUCCUAAGUGGGUCCAACUGUCCUUUUAUUCUCCAUUUAACAGUUAGAUGAUCACUUCAAAAGAUCCUACAGAAAUGUAAUGCUCACGUUCUCAAGCAAGACAGGGAAACAAACAAAUGGCACUUGACAUCCUGUUUCCAGCAUUCAAAUAUAUGCCAUUGAAAACUUAAUAAUCUAUCUCUAUAUGCGCAUUUAAAUUCAGCAGGAGAAUUUGUAUACAAGUGGUAUGGACAGAUAUCCAUUGGUUUUAUUCUUUAAGAAACAAAAGGAUCCAAAAGCUUGAGUCACAAGAACAAGAACCACAACAUGACAAAGACAGGUUAUUUAGGCAAAUAGACAAAAGUAAAUGCUGAUAUCUCUUGAACUCCUGGAAAACAUUACUGGGAUUUAGAAAAACCAACAGACACAAAAUGCUGCAAGAAUUUUCACCUUAAAAAUGAAAUACUAUCUUCAAGGUGAAGAACUCCAAUCAUAUGCAAAUAUGACUUACAAAUCAGCUUGUAUGUUCUGAUGUAAAGUCAAUUCCAGUAAAUAUGAAACACUAAUCACAGUCUGCUUUUUUUACGUCAAAUCCUCUUGUUCUCGAGUAAAUAGCAAAACAGCAAAAAGGUAGAAUGACUUGAGCACAAUCGCCAGAAAUACAAAGAUUGCUACCUUCCACGCAAAAUAAAUGUUGUUUUUUAUUUUUAUUAUUAUUCUCUUAUGUGGCCUUUUUCUGUUUAUAGUUCAUAACAUCAUCAUAUAGUUGACCUUUGUAUUCAAAGGCAUUCUCUAGGACAAAUAUCCAGAAUAAAUUUUCUAUAAUAGUAAGACCAACAUAUCCCGCAUGCAAACGCUCUCAAAUUCCAAGAGCUAAUAUUCAAAAAUGCUGGAUCACAUACUCAGCAGUUAGGCUAAAUGAACCCUUUUCUACCAUUCCGCUUUAUUUAAGGUUCAUACUUUCUUUCGAAUUCCAAGAGUUAAUCUUCAAAAAGGCCAAAUCACAUACUUUGGGAUUAGGCCAAAUGAACCUUUUCUUCCAUUCCGGCUUUAUUCAAGGCUCAUACUUUCUCCAAGUUCAAAAGAAUAAAUACAUUUCUUCAAGAAACAUUGACAUUUUUAUUCCAGUUGUGGGUUGAGAUGAAUAGGCAGGAAAACAUCACCCCAUUUCAUGUUGAACAGUUAUUUAGAAAUGUUAGGAAACACCACAACAGUAAUCCAAAGCUAAGUCAGGAAAAUAAAACAACGAUAUAGCAGUCAUAAUUUUUUUUAAAAAAAAUUACCUGGACAACCCCGGCGAAAGAUUGACGCCAGCCAUGAGAAAGCGAGAGGGGAACGAUAGCGACCGACAUGACGACUCGGUCAGCAUUACAAAGUGCCAAAGCUAAAGCCAGCAUAGCCACCACCUUGACUCUCUCGGAAGUAAUAAACUCCACCGCAGUCGGCUGACGGAAUUCGCCUCCGCUGCUACUGGAAAUCGACCUAGAACCAUUCGACGAAGAAGCCCUAAUCGGUAGAAUCCGUUCACUUCGAAGUCUAGAAGAAAAUUCAGUUGCACAAGCAGUGCUGGUUUUACUCCACCAAUUACGAUGGUUCAAUUUACAGGGAAGCUUAGAAGCACUAGAAUUAGUUAAUGGCAGUUGCCUUUCCGAAGGUUUAGGGGUUUGAGGGCUCUUAAUCGGGGUUGGGCUGCUGACGGGAAGCGGGCGGCGGAGAGCAGCCGGAGAAUUCAUUCUGCAAUUGGGUCCAAGUCAGCAAUUUAUACGAAAUCCAUUCCCUGAGUUGGGCGACAUACUCGGUGUUGAACUAAAUUCGAGUAAUCUAUCAAGUGAACACUAGUGAUCAGGAACAUAGGCUGCCGCCUGAAAUACUACUCCUUAAUACUGGAACCUAAAGUCGAAAUAGCACAACAGUUCUGCUACUCCUACGUAGCGACGAAAAUGCCGUGGUGUUCUUCUUGGCAGUUUAUUAAUGGCUAAGCUAAAGACCAUAGCAGGAAUCUUAUAAAGUUUUGGCUUUAGAUAAAUCGAGCAGAGAAGGAACCUGUAGACUAGUAAAUAAGGAUGAGACUAGCUCAUUGGCACGAGUCUGAUGUUUAUCUUCUGGGCUUGAAAGUUGGUACUGCUACUAUUAUUGUUGAUGCGUUCGGUUCGCAUUGUCGAAUCUAAUAAUAGAGUGUGAUUCACCUUACAUGUUUGGUUUAAGGGUUCGUUUGGGAGUGGAUGAUUUGGAGAGAAAAGAAAGGGAAAGAAGAGAAAGUGAACAUUUCCUUCGUUUGUUAGUUUUAACUAGGAAAGAAAAGAAGAGAAAUGGAAGGAUUCAAGAAGAUAAAUAGUAAGUAAAAUUUUUCCUCCCAAAUUGGAGAGAAAGUUGGAGAAAGCUUAUGAGAGUUUUUUAAAAUACCUAUUUUAUCCUUAAAAAUGUCUUGAACAAAUAUUUAAUGACUUUUAUAUCCAAAAUCAUUCCACUAAUUCUCAAAACUCCCAAACAACAUAACAAUCCCUUCUCUUCUCUCAUAACUUAAGUUUUCCUUUCUUCUCUUUUCUAUCCUAAACUCCCAAACUUAGCAAGAGUAAAUAGAUUCUAUUUUUAUUAACAAAAAAUUAAUUUGAAACCCGAUCUAUGAGACGGGAAUGAUUCCGCACGUCAAUCAAAUAAAUUAUAGGUGCAGUUAUAUCAUUAUUAACUUUGAUGCGUAUUCCUGUCCCUUGAACUAAAUUUCCAAACAUUUUUUGUUAACUUUGGACAAAGGAUUAGCUUUGAAGGAAUAGGAAGGUACGGAGAGGAAAGAAAAAGAAAUGAAAUGGAUGAAUAAAGUUUUUGAUGUUUGGAUUAAUCUUUUGAGAGGGAAAGAAAAGAAUAGGGAGAGAUGAGAUCUCCUUAAUUUUUGUCGCCCAACUUUCUGCUUCCUUUUCUUUUCCACUAAAGUCCUCUCACUUUUCCUUCCUUCCCUCCCCUUCAAUUCAAAUGGUGCCUAAUGCACUCUGUCUUUCUUUUCUUUUAUCUUUUGUAUUUUGCAAAGAUGUCAGGGAACAAUUUUAGAAUGUACUAAAUAAUUGAAAGAAAGCAAGAAAGUCGUAAAACUCAAGUAUUAAAAUUUUAAUUUCAUGCAUUAAACUAAUAAGUAACAGGAAGUAAAGAUUAUGAUUCCUAUUAAAAAUAUUUUAUUCAAUGAAAAUUAUACAUUCAUCAUACAAAAUAACUUCAACACAAAGGCAUUUAAUACGAGAUUGGGAGAGUAUAUUACUAGACUUUGAUGUUCUACUUGUAGCCAGCAAUCAGAGCAGGUAGUGCAAGAUUAAAAGUUGCUAGCUUCGUAGCACCUAUUACUUGAUACAUAUGGCCAUCUAGAUCAAUCACCGGGGUCGGCGCAAUAGCCAUGAGAGCUCUCAGAGUUCUCUUGGCUGUCAAGUUCAAAAUUCCACACACUUGAGAUUGAGAAGAAUGUUUGAGAAGAAUGUGAGAAGGGGUGGGAGGUCAAAAAGGAUAUAUAAUAAUAAUAAUAAUAAUUCCAGCUUGAGCUUCUUAUUCCAGUUGUAGCAAAAUUUUGCUAAAACCAUGACUCGUUUGUUGCACUGUUAUCAUGAUCACAUCCAAUUAUUUUCAGAAUCCGAUCCAGUGCCUUGUCAAAUUACUCUGUAAUGACAAAUUUCAAGAUACAAGUGCAAUCAUCUCUUUGGUAAGAUAAACAAUUCGUCAUCAGCUGCUCUAUCUGACUCUGGAUGAUUAUACCAACCACUAAUCCAGUUCCAACAUUAAAGCAGAAGCAGUUAGCAGACGAAUAACUACUUCCUUUCCCCGUGUUUCAAAUAGUGCAGAGACCAUUGAACCCCUUCCCCUUCUGUAGAGUCAGCGGCAUUAAGUUCGGAAAACUUCCGAACAAAUUACAGCUCGUUCCAUUCAAUGUGCAGAAGAGCUUCGGUAGAAUGGGAACUCUCCAGGCAUCGAAGCAAACAAUUAAUCCUGGAAAAUCUUAGUGAUCUCAAAGUCUAUCUGUAUGUCCAGCUAGAAUUCACUCCAGACUUCCCAUUUGUCUGGUAUCUCGUUCCAGAAGAAUAUCUUCCAGUUCCAUCUACAGAAAUAGAAAAAGCCGCUACCCCAUGACCUACUAAUUUGAGAAGGUAGCAAAAGGUUCAGCUUUUCACCGUAUGUCCAUACUGUCCCUGGCUAUAAUCCUACAAUGUGAAGCUGAAGUUAUGAAACCAUAAUUUUCUCCAAAUAUCAAACCGUAGAUUCUAUGAUACAUAAUGACAUAGAAAAUCAACAGCCACAGUUGAUACCUGCAGGAGACAAUCUUCAGGCAACCUAUGAAACCCUAGGGAGCCUCAUGGCAUGUUUUUUCUGGUGGCAAACUUACACUCUGUUGGUGCAAUUGUCACAAUCGGAAUAUAUUCAGCCAACAUCACUGCUGAAAAUUAAGAAUGAAGCAUCAAAAGAUUUCAGUCAACCGUGAACCCACUUCGACUUAAUUAUAUCAGAAAUUACCGCCCAAGUGUGCUGUCUUACUAACCAAACAACCGCAGUCUAUGUCACAAACUCCAUUAGACAGGCUGAUACAACAGAAGUAUACAUCUUACACUGGUUGCAAUCACUCUACAAAGCCACUAUCCUUCACAGUUGAUGCUUUGGGAGAAAAGUUCAUCACCAAUUACCUAUUUUUUUUCCAGCAAUCUGACUCUCCAAGUACAGGAAUACAAAGCUCGGUGUCUGUUGCAGACAUCCUUCUCAGGAUUCCACAAUUACUUCUGCCUUUGUACACUGUUCCUGUGGUUACUGUUGUCACUUGCAGCUCAUUGUUUUUAGCUGACAGUGUACUCUAGAUACUGCUAAUUUAAUUCCAAUGUAUGAAGAUUAAAUUAAUUUUACUUGAUGUGCAAUACCACCAAGUGACCAUUUGAAAGAUUAGAUUUCUUGUGCUAUCCACAGGUCAGGUAUGUGAGCUCACCAAUUAAACAGAGUUAAUAACAAUAGAUGAAUUUGGCAUUGUUUCUUCUGCUCUGAAGUUUGACCAUGCAUCAAACACAAUAACACAUACAGCAGAUUCAAAAUUCAAGUAUAUUUAACAACUAGAUGCAAACUUGUAGGAAGAUCUGUACAUAAGCACAAAAGGCAACUAAAACUUAAAAGAUUUAAAUCUCCACCAGUUUCUUUCAAAUUUCAAAAUGAACGCUUAUUGCUAACAUGCAAUUAUAAAUUUCAUUAUCUAAGUAGAAACAUGUCCCUGAUGUCAAAAUAAAAGUUUCUGCAUGUAUUACAUACAUCCAGUGAUCAUAACAUCACAUUUUGCUUGCAUGUUUACCAAACAGUGAAUGUCGGCCUUCGGCAAUAAGCUCUCCUGUUAAUUUGUUCCUCACGAUCACAAGCGUUCCAGAAUAACCACCUUUUCGACCUAAAAGUGUCGAGACAAUCUCCAAUUCAUCCUGAGAAAGUAAGAUAUUCAACUAAUCAAGUUAAAAACCAACAUUUGCCAAUCAAACAAUUUCACUUUUAGCCAAUAUGUGACGCACAAAACCGAUUAGCCCCUGAUCUGGUAAUAACAAGAAUACCCUCUCUUUUUUUCCCAAUUUGCAAUAAAAAUACCAAUAUAUUGGAUCGAUAGCCCUUAUCGAGUUAUCAAACAAUCCUGCUUAAUAACGAAGAGAUUUAUUAACGCACAAAUGAAAGUAUUAUUAACUAAAACCAGAAUAUCUGGAUUACUCGUUCAUUAACAUGAACAUUAGAUAUUCCAACAUGGAAAUUGAAAUCAUUUGAGGAGGGCUUACAUCAAGUUUGGCAGUUGAGAGGUAAGAAAUGGACAUAUCCACUGAAACAUUCAUGGGGAGUCCUUCCACGUGGACCAAAGCACCACCCAUUUCAUCCACUAGGUUGGCCACCGCCCCUGAUGCCAAAUUUCCAUUCCUAUCCUGAACGAAGACCCACAAAAAUAAAUAAAUAAAAUGACUGAAAAAGGUUCACAAAUUUUAGUCAAAAUUCAAAUAGAAAAUAAAAUACCUACAUAAUCAGUUGAAACUACUCAAAGAACUCAGCUGUAAUUUUGCUAAUAUCUCAAAAUACAGGGAACUUUACUUACGAUGAGGCGAGAAGGGACUUUGAAAGUGCAAGAAACGUAGCCAGCUUCGACUCGGUCGACUCGGAUACCGCGAAGGGCGUAAUACUCGUAGAAGCUAGAAUCGAGAUGGGGUCGGUGAGGAGGGAAGGUGAGUUGGGAUACGCGGUCGGACUCUUCCUUGGCUAGCUGAAGAGAUUCCCUGGCGUUCUCCAUUUUGGGUCCUAUCUGAGCUCUGGCAGGAGUAUGGCAUACGAGUCCAUGAUUGUCUUCAAUAUAACGCAAUCACCCGAUUUGCUAGUCAAGGCCGUCCGAAGGCGCCGUUUGGAUUGAGGAAAAUAAAACGAAAUGAAGGGAAUGGGCAUCAGUGGGAAAAAAAAAAGGGUACAGGAAAGCCGUUUCUGGCUAAUAAAUGAAAGAAAUUGUAAAGUUUUUGCUUAGAUUAAGGAAGAAACGAAAAGAAAGAAAAACAUCAACUGUUACCGAACACAAAACUAUAUCCCAACAAAAUAAUUAGACUAUUUCCCUCCUCAGAAAUCAACAUAAAUUAAAAAAAAGAAAAGAAAAAACUAAUCCCCUCCAAUUCCUUUCGUUUUCUUUCCCUCCCAUUACCUCAAUCGAGAUUAUGCCAAAGUUUACAAGGUUUCUAGAAUUAUAAAAAACGAUGUUAUAAAAACAGAUUGACGGAUUGCAUCCUUCACGUGGUGUAUUGCUAAUUAAUCAUUUAAUAGUGAUUAGUCGUUGACAGACUAUUGAUAUUAGUAAUGUAUAUUGAACAUCUAAAAUUUUCCCUCUUAUUCAAUAUUUUUAUUUAUUAUUGGAUUAACUUUUUAUGUACUGACGGUUUAGUAAAAUUUUUUUUACACCAACGAAUAUGAAUGUAUAUCAUAUGUGCAUUAUUUGAAUUUUAAAAUUGAAUUCAUUAGCAUUUGACAUGUUUAAACCUACUAGUGUAAAAAAAAAAAUUGUACACCGAUAAUAUACGAAAAACUUUUACUCUUUUAUAUUUUUCCGAUUUGUUGGUUUUUCGACAUUAGUUGACCCUAUCAUUGGACAACACAGUUUCUACGUUGUCUCUCCCACUCUUCUCUUUUCAUCCCCAAAUAUCUUAUCCAUUUUUUUCCCAUUCAACCGCUUAGCCAAGUAAUUAAAAGUGCCAAUUUUCUAUGGGUCUGUCAAACAAGGGAGUAGGCAUUGGUUAAGAGAGAAUUUAUUUGUUGAUAUUUUAAUGUAACAUAAUAAUUAUUAGUAUGUGUAUUUAUAUAUGAUAAAUUAAAUAUAAUUUAAGUGUACUAACAAAUGCUACAUUAGAAAAAUCCGUCUUUUAUUUCUUUCCCUCUCUAGUGUUGUUAAGGUUGGUGUAAAUAAUAUAAUGGAUGGGAUGAAUAUCUGUGGUUUUUUUCCUAAGAAAAAAGCCAAUAUUAUUGGCAUCAAUAUUCCCCCUCCAACUCUUGACCGGUUUUAAAGUAGUACUACUUCUUUACCCAUAAAUUCUAGCUAAAGCUAUCUUCCCACAUUUCGUUGAUGUGGACCAAAGGUUAAGUUGUCCUUAAUAUCAAAUAUUAAUUAAAAGGAUUAAAAGAGGGAAGGUAGAGACAGGUGAGUUGUUGGGUGGUAUGCUGAGAACAUUAAUUACUCGUUGCGAAAUGUUAGCCAAGCAAUAAAUCAAGGAGAAGUUUCUGUUUCCCAAAAAGAAAAGGAAAACAUUAGUAAGACUAAACAGAGAUGAAUGUUAUUUGCACUCUAUUUUUUGUUAUUUGCAUUCUCAUAAUUUGUUUUAUAAUAUAGUUUAAUAAAUGAAAACUAUAUGAUAAAAAUAAUAGUGUAAAUGUGAUUAUCAAAAAUAAAUCAAGGGAAUUGAUGUUUCGAACUCCCUAUUUAGUUUCUUGCACUCCAAAUCACUCACUAAAAAUAGUCUUUAAAGAGUGCUAGAGGCUAAUUAAGAAGUGCAAAUAUUACUUUUCUAAAUCAAAGGUAUGUACUAUUUAAAAUGUAGUUUAGGUGUUAAAAUUUUGAAAAAAUAAAAUUAAUUAGAAUUAUGCACAAAAUGCAAGAGAGGAUGAUGAUUAUCGAUGCUUAUUCGCAUAAUUUGUUAAGUGUGAUUUAAAUGUAUUACUCCCUCCGUCCCACUUUGAUAGUCCUGUGUUCCUUUUUCAUCUGUUCUAAAUUGUAGUCAACUUUCCAAUUGAAGAAUGUAGUUGUAUUUUAAUUUUCCUAAAAUACCCUUAUUCAAUGUAAGUUGUCGUUACUAUAAACCUACCACAUUUAAUGAGAGUUGACUCUUUUUUUACCAUCAAUUCAAGUUCUCAUAAAAUUGUACUCUAUUUAAUGUGAUGAUAUUUUAGGAAAAUAGCAAUCUAAAUUUACUUUUCCAACAAAGUUAACUACUUUUUCUUAAAUUGUGUGAAAAAAGAAACAAGACUAUUAAAGUGGGACGGAGAGAGUAAUUAGUAUUCAAUAAACACUCAUUAGAAAAAUCUAUAAAAUCAAUACUUAAAAAAAAAAAAAAAAAAAUCAGUGUGCAAAUCCCAAGCCCCAAAGGCAGCACAAGGGAACCCCGGAUUGAGUGAGUGAGGGUUUAUCGAAGGAAAGGCCCAGCGUCUGUCUGUUCACACUUAGUCAUCCAUUCGUCUUCGGAUACCUUGUCUUGCAACUCUGCCAUUCUCGUUUUCUGCACUGUUACUUAUCACAGUACCACUACUGUCACCACACCUCUUAAUCUUGUUUUCUUCCAUACUUCUUCACACCAUUUCCGCCCCUGUUUGCAGCUCCACCUUCUAAAAAAUGAACCCAUUUCGGAUCACCCAUUUCCAAAUCCAAUGACUCGUAAUAAACCCGAAUUUCAAGCCCAUCCACCUCGUACCCGCCGCCUUUCCUCAUGUCACCUCCACCCGGCUGAUCCGGCCACCGGCAUUUGCGCUUCUUGCUUACGCGAGCGCCUCUGCGGCCUCGACUCUUCCGCUGACCUCCUCGAACCCUCUUUUUCUGCUGCAGUCAUCCCGUCUCUCGGCAAUGGCGACCUCGCCGGAGCUGGACCAGUUAAUUGCCUGAACAAAGCUGCAGCCGCCACGUCGUCUCCGGAGUUGCGCCGUUGUAGGUCUGUUUUUACUGCUAAAUGCGAAGCUUCCACCAGCUUCGCCGAGCCCAGGCGCAGGUCCUGCGACGUUAGGGCUCGAAACGUGAAAAGUCUGGCCCAUCUGUUUGAUGUGGACGAUGAAUGUAGUAAUGGAUCUAACAGGGAGUCCAAGGUUGAAUCCAAGAAUAUUACCACGGCUGCUGCUGCUGAGUUCGGAGAAGAAAUUAAAGUAGAAAAUGCAGGAGGAAACAGGGAUCCCCAUGUUGCAUUCAAUGGGGACGAGGAGGAGGAGAAGGAGGAUGAUUUGGAAGAAGGAGAGGUCAAGACGAUGAAAGAACACAUAGAUCUAGAACUGCAGAGCAAGGGCCAGAGGUCGAAAGAUUUUAAGGAAUUAGCUGGAAAUAUAAGGGAGGCAGCUUCUGUUUUCAGCAAGAAAUUGCAAAAAUGGAAGCAGAAGCAGAAGAAAAAGGUUCUUUAUAGCAAUGAUGGAGGCACUGUUGAUGGGAUUAAUUGUGAAGUAAAUGGUCCAAAAGGGAAGAAAUUGGAGGAAACUCAGUCUGUGGCUGCGGAUUAUGCAAUGGGCAGGAGAUCUUGUGAUACAGAGCCUAGGUUUUCUGUUGAUGCUGGGAGAUUGUCUGUGGAGGGCGGGCGCUUUUCGAUUGAUGAGCCGAGAGCUUCUUGGGAUGGGUAUUUGAUCGCUAGGACUAUUCCCAGGCUUGCUCCGAUGUUGUCAGUUGUGGACAAUGCGAUUUUAAGUGGCGGAAAUAGGAUUGAUCAUCAUAGAGUAUCUGUUGACGGGCAAAUGCAUUCGAUAAUGGAAGAUGAGACCAGUUCUGGAGGGUCAGCUCAGUCUAAUUCGGAUUCCUCGUCUUCUCAAAGGCGAAGUAGUUUUGAUAGGUCAAGCUCUGUUAGGAGUUUUGGGAAGAAGAUGGCGGUAUUGGAUGGGGAUUAUGCGAAGGCCUCUCCUGGAAGGCUGGUAAUUACGGAGAGGGAAUUGAAAGAUUGGCAUUUGAAUUCGAUCAAAGAUGAUCACAAGAAGAAAUUUGAAUCUUCUUCCAGGGAGAACUCUCCUGCUCUUGAAGAUAGAAGUAAUUUGGGGUCAAAGAAGCCUGUUAGGUGGCGAAGGGUGUUGAACGUGUUUGGUUUCAAGCAAAAGUCCUGUGAAAACAAGUUUGAAAAACCAAUGGGGGAUUGUUCACCUGCUCAGGCUUGUGAGAAGCAAGAAAAGGAGGCUGGUGAAGAAAUCAAAGCUGCCACUCAUUGGAAGCUUAUGAGGAGCAGUAGCAUUGUUGGUGCAAGACGUUCUUGUGAGGUGAUCAGGUCAAGUAAUGGUAUGAUGAGUCUUGGUGAUGAUUCUGACUGGGCCAACAGGAGCCGGGAAGAAUUUGUGCUGGGACGAAAUCACCGAGCUACAUAUGCUUCAAGCAAUUUGGAUGAUGGUGUUUUACCAUUUUAUUUGACACCCUUGAGGACUUCCAGGAACGGGAAAUCGAGAAGGGACAAGCUGCAAGACUCACAUUUUGUUGAUGGGAGUCUUUUACGGCUCAACUGAAUAUUAAAAUUUCUGAGUGCGCAUUGAGUUAAUACUAUGACUUUGUAAGGAUUACUAGUUGUUUCUCUUCUUGUUUAUGGGUGAUAGCAAGGCAGGACCAGCAUGUUGUAACUCUACUGUUUUUAGGCAGUAUCCAUGACAUAAUAAUACGAGUUACAGCAUUUUUGUGUCUUGGUUUUCCACAUGUUUGUUCCUUUUCAUUGUUGGGCUCUUAUUAUGCCUAAGAAAUAGUGAAAGUUACCAGCAGCAAUAUGUGCUUUGAUGACAUUUGUUAUUGUGUAAGAAUUACUCGGUACUAUAGAUAUCUAAAGUGCUCUUAUCAGCAGCCUCCGAUCCCCAAUUAUGGUGGCGCAAAUUUCCGGAGAAGUGCAGGUUCAGUGGCUUAUUCAGCCCCCUACUAUAUUGCAUCCCCCAUACUAAUGAAAAUUUUGCUUUCGAGGACAAAUUACAAUAGGCAUUUAUACAGAUGGAUUAAAAAAAUGUAGAUCUAGUGGAGGCGCGAGACUCGACUCAAAUAAAGAUUCGCAAUUUGCGCUUCUUGGCACCGGUUCUAAUGAAAAUCCAACUUGUUCUCCCCCAUACUAAUGAAUGAGAGUCAGAUAUAGCUUUCGAAAUUAAGCCUUUAAAAUGGCACAAUCGCCUUUCAGCUGAGACAUCAAAACGCACAACAACAAACAAGUUGAUAGAUAUGAAUGAACUUUACAUGCCUUCAAGAAAACUGAGUUUGGAAAACCUAGUCCUGCUUCAGCUAUUAUACUAUCUACAAACAAAGGAUGAACUCCACACACAAGGGCAUGGGGUGUCAUAAGAUCAGAAAGUUGCUUAUUGCAGCAUCAUCUUCGACCCAUCAGGUAUUUGGUCUUCACAUAUUUGGAAAUACUUGAGGUAACAUGAUUGGCCUGGAGCCGCUUUCUAGAUCCCUUGGCAGGAGGAGUCUCUUCCGAUUCAUCAUCUGUGUCAAUCCUUGAAGAGCCCAACCUGGUUUGUUUAGCUAUUCGCCGUAGAAUAUGUACAUUUAAGUAGUAAUUUACUAUUGUCUCUCUGCUUUGACAAGGUAAGUACUCAAGGGCGGAAUUGAUUAAACUCUGACCAAAAGAUUUGGCAUGUAUUCUCACAACAUCCUUGAACUUCUUCUGUUCUUCCAAAGUCCAUAACUUGGAAACAUCUUCUCCCAUGCUUUCAAAUUUCCAUUGCCAAAAGGCAGGCCCCAGAUCAGAUUGCAGCUGGAUUUUCUUAGCAUUGAUGUGCUGUCUAACGCAUUCAACAGAUCCAGGGGAUAC